rnacentral:rRNA from 1 species
GACGAACGCUGGCGGCGUGCCUAAUACAUGCAAGUAGAACGCUGAAGAGAGGAGCUUGCUCUUCUUGGAUGAGUUGCGAACGGGUGAGUAACGCGUAGGUAACCUGCCUUGUAGCGGGGGAUAACUAUUGGAAACGAUAGCUAAUACCGCAUAACAAUGGAUGACCCAUGUCAUUUAUUUGAAAGGGGCAAAUGCUCCACUACAAGAUGGACCUGCGUUGUAUUAGCUAGUAGGUGAGGUAACGGCUCACCUAGGCGACGAUACAUAGCCGACCUGAGAGGGUGAUCGGCCAAGCUGGGACGGGGACACGGCCCAGACUCCUACGGAAGGCAGCAGUAGGGGAUCUUCGGCAAUGGGGGCAACCCUGACCGAGCAACGCCGCGUGAGUGAAGGAGGUUGUCGGGUCGUAAAGCUCUGUUGUGAGUCAAGAACGUGUGUGAGAGUGGAAAGUUCACACUGUGACGGUAGCUUACCAGAAAGGUACGGCUAACUACGUG